UACGGAGGGUGCUAGCGUUGUUCGGAAUCACUGGGCGUAAAGGGCGUGUAGGCGGUCUGUUAAGUCUGAUGUGAAAUCCCCUCGCUCAACGAGGGAACUGCGUCGGAUACUGGCAGACUUGAGUACCGGAGAGGAAGGUGGAAUUCCCGGUGUAGCGGUGAAAUGCGUAGAGAUCGGGAAGAACAUCGGUGGCGAAAGCGCUCUACUGGACCGCAACUGACACUCAGGGACGAAAGCUAGGGGAGCGAAUGGG
rnacentral:rRNA from 1 species